rnacentral:lncRNA from 1 species
UCAUAGAGGAAAGGGCUGUGAUAUUUUGCAGCAUGUUGGUUCAGGACCUUGGAGAGUGGCAUAAGCCUAUGUGUUCUCUGUCCCUUUCACUGAGUUCUCUGGCCAACAGUGGGGGUGCUUCUAAAGAUUCUAUGUCAGGCAUCAUAAUAAGAUCCCAAUAACAGAGGUCAGUGGUGCAAGAGUUGCCCUGUUUUACCAUAGGGGAGGGAGGUUACUGAGGCAAUAUGGGAAACGAGGAAUAAGUUACCAGGGGCCUGUGGAAACUAGUGGCACCAAAGUGGACAGACUGAGACCGCAGAUCAGACUGGCAUCAAGAUAACAGCUGGGAAGUGACUGUGGGUUAAAUAUUCAUGGAUAACUUCCAGGCACUGGCUUACGCAGCUGUAAAAGAGACAUGUGCUGCCUCUCUCCAGGUAUCCAGAAAAGGCCCUCGUUCCUAAGACAACAAUUCAAGGUCAAGAGAACAAAAAAGAAAUUGAAAAAGAUAUCCAACAUCCUCUCAUGCUGGAAGCUUCAAUAUCUGCUGCAAUCUUCACACUUUCCAGGGAUGUAACCAAAGCAAGUUCUAACAUCGAUUGAGAGUUUACUAUGAACCAGGCACUGUGCCAAGGACUCUACAAUACUAUUUGGCUGAAUCCUCAUAAUAACUCAGAAAAGCAUACAUUAUUAUGAAGUCGUGAGAAUAAAAUGACAGAAUGUAAGAAAGCUUAGACCAAGGAUUUAGACCAAGGUCACAGAGAAGGCAAGAGACAGAAUCAAGUUUGAAACUUUUGUCUCUGAAGUGCCAAAGCCCAUCUUCCACCCACUAAAUGAAAUCAAUGAUUCUAUGAGCUUUCCCAGAACCCACUCAAGACUGAGGCAGUUUGGGGAUGCCAGGAUUCACCAGGUUUGAGGGAAGAGGCAUCUUCUUGGAUAUGAGCAAGUACUGGGAAGAUCUAGAGCUGCAGGCCUGGGUAGAAGUGAAGGGGGGAGAGAAAAGAAGGAAGAAGGGAGCUAGUCGUCCAGAGACCAGCAGCAGUGAUGUGACUGCAGACUCAAAACACAGAGCUCUCUAAGCCACCCUCCUCUGACUUCAUUUGGAGACCACACCAGCCCCUUUGACACCUUGAGGUGCACCUGCAUCCCUGUGCAGUCCACUGACAAAAUUCAAGGACAAGGCUGGACACACAGAGGCAUCUCAGAGGUCAAGGGUGGAGGGGUCCCUGGGUCUCCCAGUAGAUUAAAAAUAAAAGAAACAAAUGCCUAAACAGGGCUGCAAAAGGUAACAUGCAUUGCAAAUGUUUACAUGAAAUAAAUUAACACUUGUAGCACUACAAAAAUACAAUGACUACAUGUGUGCCAGCCCCAAGAGAUUAACAGGAUUCAUUAAAAAUAUUAAUUCUUAGUGCACUAUAUGUUUUAUAGCCUUGUCAAAUGACACAUUUUAAAUUUCUAAAACUCUUUAUAAACUUUCCAAUACUGCCAGUGAAUGAAUGUGACUACUGAUAUAAUCCAUUUAAAGUCAACGGCUGCACACUAAACCUGAGGCCCCUCCAGACUUCCAGGUGCACCUGAGGGGUUAAUGAGAAGGAAUGGAAAGGAGCGUUUUCAGGAGGAAUACUGUGAGUCCCUGGGCGUAUACUUCGGCAAUCAUGGAGACUAGUCUUUGGUCUGAACAUCCAGGGAGCAGUGAUUCAGCAUCCUUAAGUGAUUUCUAAAGAAGUACAUUAAACAAUGCUUUUUGGGCUUAUUGAAGACCCCCAGGGCAACCUCAGAAAUCAGUGGAGGAGAUAGCACAACAGAAAAACAGGACUUCUGGUCAGCAGAAACAAUCAUUUUUGUUAAUAUUAACCCACAGAGAGAGAGGUCUGUAGAAAAUCAGUUUACAACAGGAUGAGCUUUUCCUCAGUUCAAAUCUAUACACAUUGAUUGAACUCAGGAACUUGAUCUAGAAGGUACUUUCAUUCCCCCUCUUUACUCAGUAAAGGUUACAUACACUACAAGGCUGGAAUUAAGUAAUUCUUCUACUAAGAGUCCAGUCACUUUUUCUGUUCAUCAAACAGAAAGUAUAAAUGAAAUAUUCUUCUGUGAUGGGGAUGGAUGGAAGGGAUUUGGUCCAAGCAGGUGUAAAGAAAGGUCCCUGCUCACAGGGAGCCAGGAAGCAUUAUCCAAUGAAGAAGAAAAUUCUAACACAUUAGAGGCUAACCUGGAGCACUGACUCCCAAAUACAAUGGGAUACUUAAAAGAGAGGUCAUCCACAUUUCAGGGCUACAAUGCUCAGAGGAGUAGGAGCAAAUUAUCCAAAGUACUGUGCAGGGACAGUAGUGAUUGCCUCCUUCCACAAUUAUUGGGGAGAAUAUUGGGAGAAAUGCACCCCUUCUCACAUCCCUAUCCAGAGAGUGUAGCUGCC